rnacentral:rRNA from 1 species
UGGGGAAUAUUGCACAAUGGGCGAAAGCCUGAUGCAGCAACGCCGCGUGAGGGAUGACGGCCUUCGGGUUGUAAACCUCUUUUAGUAGGGAAGAAGCGUAAGUGACGGUACCUACAGAAAAAGCACCGGCUAACUACGUGCCAGCAGCCGCGGUAAUACGUAGGGUGCAAGCGUUGUCCGGAAUUAUUGGGCGUAAAGAGCUCGUAGGCGGCUUGUCGCGUCUGCUGUGAAAACCCGGAGCUCAACUCCGGGCCUGCAGUGGGUACGGGCAGGCUAGAGUGCGGUAGGGGAGAUUGGAAUUCCUGGUGUAGCGGUGGAAUGCGCAGAUAUCAGGAGGAACACCGAUGGCGAAGGCAGAUCUCUGGGCCGCUACUGACGCUGAGGAGCGAAAGCAUGGGGAGCGAACA